rnacentral:rRNA from 1 species
AUGGAAAAGCACAUGAAUUCCUUUCCUGCAGGGACCAUACUCCUGUGUGUGCUUCUCUUGUUCUCUACGAUCCAUGCAGAGUGCCAAAUCAUGCAGAGCCUAGCAAAUGAGAAGAUCAAUUUCCCAACAGGAUUGUGCAUCCAUAGACCAGAAAAAACGUGCCCAACUAAGCCAUUUUGUUUCUGUUGUUUAGUGAACAGCGAUUGCUAUCUUGCAAUGGAUGGUUGCGUGAGUAACUGUGCAAAGUCUGCUUCAUCAGGAAUAGAGGCUUCACAGAAAUAUGGUCUAUCACCUUCCCAUGUAAUGCACCGAUGA